rnacentral:rRNA from 1 species
UACGGGGGGGGGCAAGCGUUGUUCGGAAUUACUGGGCGUAAAGGGCUCGUAGGCGGCCAACUAAGUCAGACGUGAAAUCCCUCGGCUUAACCGGGGAACUGCGUCUGAUACUGGAUGGCUAGAGUGUGGGAGAGGGAUGCGGAAUUCCAGGUGUAGCGGUGAAAUGCGCAGAUAUCAGGAAGAACACCCGUGGCGAAGGCGGCUCUCUGGGACGGUACUGACGCUGAGACGCGAAAGCGUGGGGAGCGAACAGG